UGGGGCAUAGCCAAGUGGCAAGGCUUCGGUUUUUGAUAUCGAGAUUCGUAGGUUCGAAUCCUGCUGCCCCAA
rnacentral:tRNA from 1 species